rnacentral:misc_RNA from 1 species
AACCAUUCUCACCUGCGGCUAGACCUGCGGAGGGAUCAUUAUUGAAUUCUUUUACACCAGAAAGGGUCUCUCUCUCUUGUGAGGGGAUCCUUUCUGAACAAACAAACAUACAUGACUAGGAAAAUAGAGACUUGAGGGGGGCUGCUGCUGCUGUGUUUCUCAAUGAGAUACACACACUUUUUCUAGCACAGCAAGAAAAGUUCUUGGCUGAUAAGUAGCAUUGAUUUGGUGAUGAUAUAA